rnacentral:tRNA from 1 species
GCUGGGGUGGCGGAACGGCAGACGCGCGGCGCUGAGGUCGCCGUGGGCGCAAGGCUCUCUGAGGGUUCGACUCCCUCCCCCAGCA